rnacentral:rRNA from 1 species
CCUACGGGAGGCUGCAGUGGGGAAUAUUGGACAAUGGGGGCAACCCUGAUCCAGCCAUGCCGCGUGUGUGAAGAAGGCCCUCGGGUUGUAAAGCACUUUCAGUGAGGAAGAACGCCUGGUGGUUAAUACCCAUCAGGAAAGACAUCACUCACAGAAGAAGCACCGGCUAACUCCGUGCCAGCAGCCGCGGUAAUACGGAGGGUGCGAGCGUUAAUCGGAAUUACUGGGCGUAAAGCGCGCGUAGGUGGCUUGAUAAGCCGGUUGUGAAAGCCCCGGGCUCAACCUGGGAACGGCAUCCGGAACUGUCAAGCUAGAGUGCAGGAGAGGAAGGUAGAAUUCCCGGUGUAGCGGUGAAAUGCGUAGAGAUCGGGAGGAAUACCAGUGGCGAAGGCGGCCUUCUGGACUGACACUGCCACUGAGGUGCGAAAGCGUGGGUAGCAAACAGGAUUAGAUACCCGAGUAGUA